ACAACCUCAUGCUUCAUAAUCUGAGGGUGUGGCUGGUCACAGGUUACCACUGGAAAUGUGUUUCAUUGAUUAACAUUAGUAUGUGCAGAAAAACCUCAAUAAGCGCAUUACAUGGCGUUUUCACUUAGUCUACUGUUUGUCUAAAAAUAACUGCUUUUCUAAAACAAUGUAAGAUUGCGAGACACAAUAUGCUAAACGCACAAGUCAUUUCCUUUGAAUAGAUGAAUGCGUUAGCAAACUUCGACCGUCUCUUUUUAAACAUCUCAUGGACAAGUCACAGAGAAACCGCCACAUGGAGUACCUGAUUGGACAAAGGAUUGGGACAGAACAGAGAUGAGGGUCCAUCGGCCAAUGACCGCGUACCUGUCCCUCAGCGAAGCGGAAUGCUGCACAAAUAUCUGUCCUCUCCAGGCAGAUGAGCUGGAGAGGAAUGCCUGCUGUCCCAGUGCACUCCCCGUUGCUGUCAAAGUCACAGCUGUGCCACUUUUUAUUGAUAAGAUAUUUUAUUACACCCGCUAAAUUCAAUUGGAGGCAUAUCCCAACCUGCCAUAUAAUUUCAGCCGUACAUGCAGUUACCUCCAGCCUAGUCUGGCUUGCCAAUGAAUGCACUCAGUUCUCCGUAACACCUGCCAGCCAUGAAUGGGUCAUAUGCAGGAGUCUGUGGUGAACCUUGGAUUCCCUGGGGGUCUCGGUGACAUCAGCUGGUGACAUCGAUAGCAUGCAUGUGCAACUGCGCGCUCCAGCAGAGAACGCUCUUACAUAUGUUUCCUGUGAAGGAGCCCACUCCCUCAACAUCCAGGUGAUCUGCGAUGCUACGUGUAAGGUUACACAUGUACUCAUUUAAUAAAUUUGUUCAUGCAUACUAUUCUCAUACUAAAAUAAUUGCAGCUGCCAUGUUUAUUUAUGCUUGCAGUCAAGAGCAUUUGAGCAACAUUCCUGCAGGCUGCAAGCAAAUAAAAAAACUUGCUUCCCUGUC